CAUGCAAGUCGAACGAGGAUAUAUCCUUCGGGAUAUAAGCCGAGUGGCGCAAGGGUGAGUAAUGCAUAGAUUACCUGCCUCUAGGAUAAGGACAACUUUGUGAAAACGAAGCUAAUACUUAAUAAUACAAAAGAAAAUAAUUUUCUUUUGUCAAUGGGAGGGUAGCAAUACCUUUUGCCUAGAGAGGGGUUUAUGUCCUAUCAGCUUGUUGGUGGGGUAAUGGCCUACCAAGGCGAAGACGGGUAGCCGGUCUUAGAGGAUGGUCGGCCACACUGGGACUGAGACACUGCCCAGACUUCUACGGAAGGCUGCAGUCGAGAAUCUUUCGCAAUGCCCGAAAGGGUGACGAAGCGACGCCGCGUGAGUGAGGAAGGCCUUAGGGUUGUAAAGCUCUGUCAGGAGUUAAGAAAUAUAAGUGUGUUAAUACCACGUUUAUUUGACGAAGGCUCCAAAGGAAGCCACGGCUAACUCUGUGCCAGCAGCCGCGGUAAUACAGAGGUGGCAAGCGUUGUUCGGAAUUAUUGGGCGUAAAGAGCACGUAGGUGGGUUUGUAAGUCAGAUGUGAAAGCCUUCUGUUCAACGGAAGAAUUGCAUCUGAAACUGCAAGUCUUGAGUGUAGGAGGGGAGAAUGGAACUUCUGGUGGAGCGGUGAAAUGCGUAGAUAUCGGAAGGAACGCCGGCGGCGAAAGCGAUUCUCUGGCCUAUUACUGACACUCAGUGUGCGAAAGCUAGGGGAGCAAACGGGAUUAGAUACCCCGGUAGUCCUAGCCGUAAACGAUGGGCACUAAGUAGAGGGAAUUACCGAUGUUCUCUCUGCCGUAGCUAACGCAUUAAGUGCCCCGCCUGGGGAGUACGGCCGCAAGGCUAAAACUCAAAAGAAUUGACGGGGGCUCGCACAAGCGGUGGAGCAUGUGGCUUAAUUCGAUGCAACGCGAAAAACCUUACCGGGGCUUGACAUGGUAGAAGUAGGAACCCGAAAGGGUAACGAACGGUAUCCAGUCCAUAGCUAUCACAGGUGUUGCAUGGCUGUCGUCAGCUCGUGUCGUGAGACGUUGGGUUAAGUCCCCUAACGAGCGAAACCCUUGUUUUUAGUUACCAGCGGGUUAUGCCGGGUACUCUAGAAAGACUGCCGUCGUCAAGACGGAGGAAGGUGGGGAUGACGUCAAGUCAUCAUGGCCCUUAUGCCCCGGGCUGCACACGUGCUACAAUGGUCGGUACAAACGGAAGCGAAGCCGAGAGGUGAAGCGAAUCCUAAAAAGCCGAUCUCAGUUCGGAUUGGAGGCUGAAAUUCGCCUCCAUGAAGUUGGAAUCGCUAGUAAUCGCGGAUCAGCAAUGCCGCGGUGGAUAUGUUCCCGAGCCUUGUACACACCGCCCGUCAAGCCACCCAAGCAGGAUGCACCCGAAAACAUUAUAUCUAACCAGGGCAACUUGGAGGAAAGUGUUGAAGGAGUGUUUUGUGAGGAGGACUAAGUCGUAACAAGGUAGUCGUAGGAGAACCUGCGGCUGGAUCACCUCCUUUCU
rnacentral:rRNA from 1 species